rnacentral:rRNA from 1 species
UACAGAGGUCUCAAGCGUUGUUCGGAUUCAUUGGGCGUAAAGGGUGCGUAGGCGGCGCGGUAAGUCGGGUGUGAAAUCUCGGAGCUUAACUCCGAAACUGCAUUCGAUACUGCCGUGCUUGAGGACUGGAGAGGAGACUGGAAUUUACGGUGUAGCGGUGAAAUGCGUAGAUAUCGUAAGGAAGACCAGUGGCGAAGGCGGGUCUCUGGACAGUUCCUGACACUGAGACAUGAAGGCCAGGGGUGCAAACGGG